CCUACGGGGGGCUGCAGUAAGGAAUAUUGGACAAUGGGCGGAAGCCUGAUCCAGCCAUGCCGCGUGAAGGAUGAAGGCGCUCAGCGUUGUAAACUUCUUUUGGAUGGGGACAAUAAUCUCGAUUUAUCGGGACUUGAGGGUACCAUCAGAAUAAGCACCGGCUAACUCCGUGCCAGCAGCCGCGGUAAUACGGAGGGUGCAAGCGUUAUCCGGAAUCACUGGGUUUAAAGGGUGCGUAGGCUGUUAGAUAAGUCAGUUGUGAAAUUCCCCGGCUUAACCGGGCGAACUGCGAUUGAUACUGUUUAACUUGAAUGAGGUUGAGGUAGGCGGAAUGUGGCAUGUAGCGGUGAAAUGCUUAGAUAUGCCAUAGAACACCGAUUGCGAAGGCAGCUUGCUGGGCCUUCAUUGACGCUGAGGCACGAAAGCGUGGGGAGCAAACAGGAUUAGAUACCCGAGUAGUC
rnacentral:rRNA from 1 species